UAAGGCUUUCUGAACAGCAGCUGACUCUUAAUCAGCGGGUCGCAGGUUCGACCCCUGCAUCAUCCA
rnacentral:tRNA from 1 species